rnacentral:rRNA from 1 species
AGAGUUUGAUCAUGGCUCAGAGCGAACGCUGGCGGCAGGCUUAACACAUGCAAGUCGAGCGGGCGCAGCAAUGCGUCAGCGGCAGACGGGAGAGUAACACGUGGGAACGCGCCCUUCGGUUCGGAAUAACUCAGGGAAACUUGAGCUAAUACCGGAUACGCCCUAACGGGGAAAGAUUUAUUGCCGAAGGAACGGCCCGCGUCUGAUUAGCUAGUUGGUGAGGUAAUGGCUCACCAAGGCGACGAUCAGUAGCUGGUCUGAGAGGAUGGCCAGCCUCACUGGGACUGAGACACGGCCCAGACUCCUACGGGAGGCAGCAGUGGGGAAUAUUGGACAAUGGGCGCAAGCCUGAUCCAGCCAUGCCGCGUGGAUGAUGAAGGCCCUAGGGUUGUAAAGUCCUUUUAACGGGGAAGAUAAUGACGGUACCCGUAGAAUAAGCCCCGGCUAACUUCGUGCCAGCCGCCGCGGUAAUAC